CAGAGAUUUCAUAUGUGAGGUAAUCUUGCUUAUGCUGGGAGUGAAGGCAGUGCGUAUGACUGCUUGAUAUGAGAGACACAUCCUGUAUUUCAAGGUGGAUCAUGAGUAAAGCUAUGCAGGUCGGCCAUUGACUUGAUAACAGUUGUUUAUGUUUAUUCAAUUUAUGAAUAAAUCUCUCGCCAACCAUUCACCUAUUUACUGACAAAACAGAUCCAAAUCUUGUUUGGCCUGAUGCUCAACCUUGUAUGAUGAUGACCAGAGCAAGGUGAUGGGAAUCUGUGGUAAUCACAGCCUGCGUCUCAAGAUCAACAUGACAAGAGCAGAUCAUCUCUUAUCUUACUCUUAUCUGACUAAAUGUUCAACAUCACUGCCACAAAACAAAGAACAUUGGAUGAAGUAUGUACUGUACAAUGAUCCAGCAAACAAAAUAAUAUGGACUUUUUUGGCGAGAUUCUACAAACAUUGACACAAUCCUAUUGACUUUUAUUUUUACAGUUAGUAAUGUAUUAUUAACAUCCCAUUCAUUUGUAUUCUAUCCCAUCUAUCUGUUUGUGCUAAAAUUUUUAAAUCUGAAUGUAAUGUCAUAAUAUGUUAAUAUUCAGUAUUUAUUAUCAUUUGCAUGUUUUGAUGUUGCAUUUGUCAUGAUUUUAUUGAUUUUAUGUUAUUGUUGUCUGAUUGUUGAAUGAUUGUCUUUGCCAAAUGUUAUUGUUCAU